UCGGAUUAGCUAGUUGGUGGGGUAAAGGCCUACCAAGGCGACGAUCUGUAGCGGGUCUGAGAGGAUGAUCCGCCACACUGGGACUGAGACACGGCCCAGACUCCUACGGGAGGCAGCAGUGGGGAAUAUUGGACAAUGGGCGGAAGCCUGAUCCAGCCAUGCCGCGUGUGUGAAGAAGGCCUUUUGGUUGUAAAGCACUUUAAGCGAGGAGGAGGCUACUCUAGUUAAUACCUAGAGAUAGUGGACGUUACUCGCAGAAUAAGCACCGGCUAACUCUGUGCCAGCAGCCGCGGUAAUACAGAGGGUGCGAGCGUUAAUCGGAUUUACUGGGCGUAAAGCGUGCGUAGGCGGCUGAUUAAGUCGGAUGUGAAAUCCCUGAGCUUAACUUAGGAAUUGCAUUCGAUACUGGUCAGCUAGAGUAUGGGAGAGGAUGGUAGAAUUCCAGGUGUAGCGGUGAAAUGCGUAGAGAUCUGGAGGAAUACCGAUGGCGAAGGCAGCCAUCUGGCCUAAUACUGACGCUGAGGUACGAAAGCAUGGGGAGCAAACAGGAUUAGAAACCCUUGUAGUCCAUGCCGUAAACGAUGUCUACUAGCCGUUGGGGCCUUUGAGGCUUUAGUGGCGCAGCUAACGCGAUAAGUAGACCGCCUGGGGAGUACGGUCGCAAGACUAAAACUCAAAUGAAUUGACGGGGGCCCGCACAAGCGGUGGAGCAUGUGGUUUAAUUCGAUGCAACGCGAAGAACCUUACCUGGUCUUGACAUAGUAAGAACUUUCCAGAGAUGGAUUGGUGCCUUCGGGAACUUACAUACAGGUGCUGCAUGGC
rnacentral:rRNA from 1 species